rnacentral:rRNA from 1 species
UACAGAGGUCCCAAGCGUUGUUCGGAUUUAUUGGGCGUAAAGAGCGUGUAGGUGGCCAUGUAGGUCCGCUGUGAAAACUCGAGGCUCAACCUCGAGCUGUCGGUGGAAACCACAUGGCUAGAGUCCGGAAGAGGAGAGUGGAAUUCCUGGUGUAGCGGUGAAAUGCGCAGAUAUCAGGAAGAACACCAAUGGCGAAGGCAGCUCUCUGGGACGGUACUGACACUGAGACGCGAAAGCGUGGGGAGCGAACAGG